UACGUAGGGUGCGAGCGUUGUCCGGAAUUAUUGGGCGUAAAGAGCUUGUAGGUGGCUCGUUGCGUCGGGAGUGAAAACCUGCGGCUUAACCGCAGGCCUGCUUCCGAUACGGGCGAGCUAGAGUUCGGCAGGGGAGACUGGAAUUCCUGGUGUAGCGGUGGAAUGCGCAGAUAUCAGGAGGAACACCGGUGGCGAAGGCGGGUCUCUGGGCCGAUACUGACACUGAGAAGCGAAGGCGUGGGGAGCGAACAGG
rnacentral:rRNA from 1 species